ACACGACUACAUUAGAUACCCCUGUAGUCCUAGCCGUAAACGAUACUCGCUAGGUGUCGGCCACGGUGCGACCGUUGUCGGUGCCGUAGGGAAGCCGUGAAGCGAGCCACCCGGGAAGUACGGCCGCAAGGCUGAAACUUAAAGGAAUUGGCGGGGGAGCACCACAACGGGUGGAGCUUGCGGUUUAAUUGGAUUCAACGCCGGAAAUCUUACCGGGACCGACAGCAACAUGAAGGCCAGGCUGAAGACUUUGCCGGAUUAGCUG
rnacentral:rRNA from 1 species